UACAGAGGGUGCGAGCGUUAAUCGGAAUUACUGGGCGUAAAGCGUGCGUAGACGGUCAUGUAAGUCGGAUGUGAAAGCCCCGGGCUCAACCUGGGAAUUGCAUUCGAGACUGCAUGGCUUGGGUGCGGAAGAGGGAAGCGGAAUUUCCGGUGUAGCGGUGAAAUGCGUAGAUAUCGGAAGGAACAUCAGUGGCGAAAGCGGCUUCCUGGUCCAGCACCGACGUUCAGGCACGAAAGCGUGGGGAGCAAACAGG
rnacentral:rRNA from 1 species